UUUUCCAAAAACAUAUUUAAUAGAACUUAUUAUUAAUAGCUUCUGCUCCNUGAUUAAUUAAAUAGCCGCAGUUCAUACUGUGCUAAGGUAGCAUAAUCAUUUGUCUUUUAAUUAAAGACUAGAAUGAAAGAAUUUACAUUUAAAUCUUUAUUAUAGGUUUAUUAAUUUAAUUUAUUUUAAAUGUAAAAAAACAUUUAUUUUAAAGAUAGACGAAAAGACCCUAUUGAACUUUACUUUAGUUUAACUGGGGCAGUUAAUUAAAUAUUAUUUUAAUUAAUUAUUAAUAAAUGACCUAAUCAAAUUAAUAUAAUGAUCNAGUUACCAUAGGGAUAACAGCGUAAUAAUUUUCCAUAGAUCUUAUAUAAAAAAAUGUUUGCGACCUCGAUGUUGAAUUAAUUUUUCUAAUAAAUGCANCCAAUUAAAUNGAAAGUCCG
rnacentral:rRNA from 1 species